rnacentral:rRNA from 1 species
GUUUGAUCCUGGCUCAGGAUGAACGCUAGCGGGAGGCCUAACACAUGCAAGCCGAGCGGUAUUUGUUCUUCGGAACAGAGAGAGCGGCGCACGGGUGCGGAACACGUGUGCAACCUGCCUUUAUCUGGGGGAUAGCCUUUCGAAAGGAAGAUUAAUACCCCAUAAUAUAUUGAGUGGCAUCAUUUGAUAUUGAAAACUCCGGUGGAUAGAGAUGGGCACGCGCAAGAUUAGAUAGUUGGUGAGGUAACGGCUCACCAAGUCAAUGAUCUUUAGGGGGCCUGAGAGGGUGAUCCCCCACACUGGUACUGAGACACGGACCAGACUCCUACGGGAGGCAGCAGUGAGGAAUAUUGGACAAUGGGUUAGCGCCUGAUCCAGCCAUCCCGCGUGAAGGACGACGGCCCUAUGGGUUGUAAACUUCUUUUGUAUAGGGAUAAACCUACUCUCGUGAGAGUAGCUGAAGGUACUAUACGAAUAAGCACCGGCUAACUCCGUGCCAGCAGCCGCGGUAAUACGGAGGGUGCAAGCGUUAUCCGGAUUUAUUGGGUUUAAAGGGUCCGUAGGCGGAUCUGUAAGUCAGUGGUGAAAUCUCACAGCUUAACUGUGAAACUGCCAUUGAUACUGCAGGUCUUGAGUAAAUUUGAAGUGGCUGGAAUAAGUAGUGUAGCGGUGAAAUGCAUAGAUAUUACUUAGAACACCAAUUGCGAAGGCAGGUCACUAAGAUUUAACUGACGCUGAUGGACGAAAGCGUGGGGAGCGAACAGGAUUAGAUACCCUGGUAGUCCACGCCGUAAACGAUGCUAACUCGUUUUUGGGGUUUCGGCUUCAGAGACUAAGCGAAAGUGAUAAGUUAGCCACCUGGGGAGUACGUUCGCAAGAAUGAAACUCAAAGGAAUUGACGGGGGCCC